rnacentral:rRNA from 1 species
UACGUAGGUGGCAAGCGUUGUCCGGAUUUACUGGGCGUAAAGAGCGCGCAGGCGGUUGGAUAAGUCGAACGUGAAAGCCCCCGGCUUAACUGGGGAGGGUCAUUCGAUACUGUUCAACUUGAAGGCAGGAGAGGGCAGCAGAAUUCCCGGUGUAGUGGUGAAAUGCGUAGAUAUCGGGAGGAAUACCAGUGGCGAAGGCGGCUGCCUGGCCUGUUCUUGACGCUGAGGCGCGAAAGCUGGGGGAGCAAACGGG